rnacentral:tmRNA from 2 species
UCUCUUCCUUUUUUAAGAAAAUUUUUGUAUACUAUAGAUGUUAGGAUUUCCUAACUAUGGCGAUAAACGCGCUACGGAAUAGGUGGGACGGACCCGGGGGCGGUACCCGGCGCCUCCACCAAACCUGUGAGAGGCUUGAAGCACACAGCUUUCAUGGGGGCGAAAUAGGAUCGACGUACGCUCAAAGGUAGAGGCUUUCGCUCGACAUGGUACCGUCGUAAAUGGACUAAAAAUAGUAAAUGGCAAAAAUAGAAUGCCUCUAAAUGGUAACAUGCCUACAGCACUCAAUAUGAAUGGUGCAGGCGCUGCAACAGCUUCUGCUGCUGCUUAGUUAUCAUUAGCGGUUCGAGGGGCACCGGGCAACAGAAGCCCCUCACU